GCCUUCUUAGCUCAGUGGUAGAGCGUUGCACUCGUACCAACCCUGGGAAAUGAAUGCAAAGGCCGCUAGUUCAAGUCUGGCAGGAGGCA
rnacentral:tRNA from 1 species